rnacentral:piRNA from 1 species
UUGGGCAGUUUAAUGACUAGGCCGUGAGC